AAACGUUACAUUUUCAACGUUGAAAAAGCGUAUAAAUUUAAACGUAUCUUAUCUUCUCAAAAAAAUGCGUUUAUUAAACGUUGAAAAUAAGUACGCAAAUAAUCACUGUAAAAACGUUGCAAAGGUAAUGGUUUAUCAACGUUAGACAUUAGCUACUUUUUCAACGAAUUUAAACUAUUUGAAAAACAACACUUAUUCAACGUUAUUUCAACGUUGGUUGAAAAUGUGGUAAUUAAAAAACGUUGAAAAAGUGUUACUUUGCCAACGUUAAUAAAACGUUGUUUUGACAAUGUUGAGGAAGUGGCACAUUGAAAAUUAUUGUCUCAAUAACUAGCCAUUACAAAAAUAAUUUGCCGUAAUGGAAAGGCAAGGAAAACUUAACAGAAUGCAUUUAUAUGGUUUGAAGCAGAAGUAGUUGUUCCAUCUUGUUCGAAAAAAGAUGGAUGGUUAUUUUGGCCAACUUGUGUUCAUGCAAUGAAAGCUACCUAUAAUAAUUUUCCAAUCAAUGAUUCCUGCAACAAGCUUAGACUUAAAAGAGUUAAAGUAACUAGAGAUAAAGAAGUAUGCGCAGGAUUUAGUUUCUCGACUAAAGAGGACUCCGAAGAAGAAUUAAAGUUCUGGUGGAUCAAAGAUUGAGGAAUGAUUUGGUUUUAACUGGUUUGCAUCUUAUGAACGAAGUGCAUAAUAUGGUUUAAAUUAAUGAUUUAUAGUUACACCUGUUGAAAUUCUGUAUCUCAAUGAUAUCCUAGCUUAUCGAUAAGAUAUUCUGUAAAUCAACUCACACACAUAAAUUUUAUUCACACACAUAAAUCUUGUAA
rnacentral:lncRNA from 1 species